CAGAGUUGCAAAACUCCCCAAACCAUUGUGAACCUUACCUUCAACCGUUGCUUCGGCGGGCGGGCCACAGCGCCCCCCGGGCCCCCCCAGCGGGGCGCCCGCCGGAGGAUACCCAAACUCUUGAUACUUUAUGGCCUCUCUGAGUCUUCUGUACUGAAUAAGUCAAAACUUUCAACAACGGAUCUCUUGGUUCUGGCAUCGAUGAAGAACGCAGCGAAAUGCGAUAAGUAAUGUGAAUUGCAGAAUUCAGUGAAUCAUCGAAUCUUUGAACGCACAUUGCGCCCGCCAGUAUUCUGGCGGGCAUGCCUGUUCGAGCGUCAUUUCAACCAUCAAGCCCCCGGGCUUGUGUUGGGGACCUGCGGCUGCCCGCAGGCCCUGAAAACCAGUGGCGGGCUCGCUGUCACACCGAGCGUAGUAGCAUCAUCUCGCUCAGGGCGUGCUGCGGGUUCCGGCCGUUAAAAGCCUCUAAUACCCAAG
rnacentral:misc_RNA from 1 species